AUGCUCACGGCUUUUCAAUUUCCAAAUCCCCGCAGCACUGCCGCGAUACUCAACUUUCUGUACAUUUUACAGCGGAUCGUGAAUGCACAAGAAAAAUAUGAUGUAUGGCAACUGCUGAACUUUCUGUACAUUUUACAGCGGAGAUCUGUGAUUUCUAUGGCGUCGCUUCACCUGCUAUCUCCCGAGCUCGCGAAGCUCCCGCGCCAGCUCCUCCACCUCCCGCCACGAGCUGCCGCCUUCGCGCACCGCCGCCGCGGCCUCCUCGGCCAGCUCCCUGGCCCGCGCGGCCACGUCGCCCCACUCCCGCCCCUUCCCCACGACGGUCGACUCGAGCACGUUCACCAGCUCGUCGGCGCUCGGCGGCGUGGCGACGCCGCCCCAGCAGAACGGCACGGCGGCGCGCAGCUCCUCCACGAGCAGCCGCGCGUUCACGAACUGGUCGGACGUCAUCGGCCACGCCAGGAUGGUCACCCCGGCCGCCGCGGACUCCAGCACCGAGUUCCACCCGCAGUGCGUCACGAACCAGCCCACCGCCCGGUGCCGCAGCGCGGCCACCUGCGGCGCCCACCCGCGGAUCACCGUGCCCCUGCCGCCCGCCGCCGCGCGCUCCUCGAACCCGUCCGGGAGCGUCGCAGGGCCGACCGCCCACACGAACGCCGCGCCUGUCUUCUCCAGGGCGGCGGCCAGCGCCGCCGCGUGAGCUGGCUGCAGCACCGCCAUGCUCCCGAAGCUGAUGUACACGACGGAUCUGUCCUCGAACUUGUCGAGCCAGGCGCACAGGUCGGCCGCGGCCACCGCCGUCUCCCCGCCGCGGUUGCCCGCGGCGUCGGCCUCCGGCGCCAGCGGCCCCACCGCGCGCACGCGCCGGAAGCCCAGGUCCGCCGGAGGCGCCUCCAGGUACCGCCCCUCGAGCCGCCGGAACGUGUUCGACACGAACGCCGAGCAAUCCAGGUUCCAGAGGAAGUUCCUCCUGACCCCCUCCGUAACCUCGUCGCCCUCCUUGUACGUCCGGUAGAGCAGGCUGAGCUGCCGCCACGGGUACACCGGGGCGCCCGGGAGAUCCGGGAAGGCGAUCGGGCACUCGUCGUCGCUCUCGUCCUCGCGGCUGGGCAGCCGGCGCAGGAGCGAGUGGAGCACGGCGGUGGCGUAAGCAGCAGAGGACGAGAACGCGACGCGAGGGAGGCCGAGCUCGGCGGCGAGCGGCUGCGUCCACCCGCAGAAGAAGUCGGAGAGUAUGGCGACGACGCGGUCCGGGGUGCCCGCGCGGGCGCGCACCCAGGAGCCGAGCGGGCCACGGAGCCCCGCGAAGGCGACGAUGAGCGCGCCGAAGAGCACGGGCGGGCACCCCUUGGCGCUCUCGACGCCGGCGGGGAAGGCCGGGUGGGAGGGGAACGGGAGAGUGAGCGCGCGGACGGCGCCGCCCGGAUGCGCGGCGAGGAGGGGCGCGAGGAGCGGCGCGGUGCCGGGCGUGGCGACGACGGUGAGGCGGAGCCCGCGGGCCGCGAGGAGGCCGACGAGGUCGAGGAGCGGGAUCGUGUGGCCCUGCGCCGGGUACGGGACGACCAGGACGUGGGGCGCCGGAGCGGUGGAGCUAUCGCCGGUGGCGCCGGUGGCCAUUGCUAUGGUGGCAGUGGUGGUGUCGCGGUGAAUUGUGACCUGGGGUGGGGUGGGGUGCGACGUCUGCGGUGUUUGGUCGCCCGUCUCCCUCUCUAUCAAAAAAAAGAAGUCUAG
rnacentral:rRNA from 1 species